rnacentral:rRNA from 1 species
CAGCCGCCACGGUAAUACGUAGGGCGCAAGCGUUGUCCGGAAUUAUUGGGCGUAAAGAGCUCGUAGGCGGUCUGUCGCGUCUGGUGUGAAAUCCCGAGGCUCAACCUCGGGCUUGCAUCGGGUACGGGCAGACUAGAGUGCGGUAGGGGAGACUGGAAUUCCUGGUGUAGCGGUGGAAUGCGCAGAUAUCAGGAGGAACACCGAUGGCGAAGGCAGGUCUCUGGGCCGCAACUGACGCUGAGGAGCGAAAGCAUGGGGAGCGAACAGGAUUAGAUACCCCCGUAGUCCCUGUCUCUUAUCA